AGUGAACGCUGGCGGUAGGCCUAACACAUGCAAGUCGAACGGCAGCACAGAGGAGCUUGCUCCUUGGGUGGCGAGUGGCGGACGGGUGAGGAAUACAUCGGAAUCUACUCUGUCGUGGGGGAUAACGUAGGGAAACUUACGCUAAUACCGCAUACGACCUACGGGUGAAAGCAGGGGAUCUUCGGACCUUGCGCGAUUGAAUGAGCCGAUGUCGGAUUAGCUAGUUGGCGGGGUAAAGGCCCACCAAGGCGACGAUCCGUAGCUGGUCUGAGAGGAUGAUCAGCCAAACUGGAACUGAGACACGGCCCAGACUCCUACGGGCGUCAGCAGUGGGGAAUAUUGGACAAUGGGCGCAAGCCUGAUCCAGCCAUACCGCGUGGGUGAAGAAGGCCUUCGGGUUGUAAAGCCCUUUUGUUGGGAAAGAAAUCCAUCUGGUUAAUACCCGGGUGGGAUGACGGUACCCAAAGAAUAAGCACCGGCUAACUUCGUGCCAGCCGCCGCCGUAA
rnacentral:rRNA from 1 species